rnacentral:rRNA from 1 species
UACGUAGGGGCCUAGCGUUGUCCGGAUUUAUUGGGCGUAAAGAGCUCGUAGGCGGUUUGGUAAGUCGGGUGUGAAAUCUCCACGCUCAACGUGGAGGGGCCACCCGAUACUGCCAUGACUGGAGUCCGGUAGGGGAGUGUGGAAUUCCCGGUGUAGCGGUGAAAUGCGCAGAUAUCAGGAGGAACACCCGUGGCGAAAGCGGCUCUCUGGGACGGUACUGACGCUGAGACGCGAAAGCGUGGGGAGCAAACAGG